UGCAUAUUUUACAGCAGUAGGAUCUUUGGGAAAUUAUGAGCACUGCAACAGGUCAAUGACUUUGGUAAUUUUUCCCUUUUUAAUUAUUUGUAUUUCCCCUCUUUGGUCUGGAUUUGUGACAAGCUUUUAGCCUUCACAUGGCUGUUUUAUGAAUGUUUAAAUGUGGCUUUAUUACUUUUCACCUGCAUUACCAAACACUGUUUAUACGUCCACAUUAUAAACAGUACAGCUGUGGCUCGAGUUCAAACAGCGGUUUAAUAUCAUGCUCCAUUUUGACUGUAGACCAGGCGUCUUUGUUUACAUUUGUAUUUACUUACUCUGACUAAUGAAUGGCCAUAAUUCAGUCGCAUCAUUUUAGUUUGUAUUUGAUACAAUUGAAAGCCCUUGGCUGAUAAAACGUUGAGCACUACUGUAGUCUGUUGCAUUAGAGUGGAUUAACUGUUUUGUUUCACCUCCAUCUCAUCUAGUCUCCUCUAAUCUUAAUUCUCCCGAUGGUUUCAUUGAGGAUGAUUUAAAAACACUAGAUGCGUCCUGUUGUAGUUUAGUGCUAGUGUCAUGACUCGGGUAACUGUUAGUUGCACUUUGAUGUGUUUUUAGAUUCCUUUUGUAACAUGAUUCUGUUUGUGUUUCAGCAAGGGGCAAGCAACGCUGAGAAGUUUGAUUAUGUGAUGAACUUCAUGAACAAACUGGCAGGAAACGAGUACGUCGGCUUCAGCAACGCCACAUUCCAGUCGGAGCGAGAGUCUGGAGACAGAAACUUUGCCAUCGGCUACUACCUGAAGGAGAA